GUUCUAUUCUCAUGCAGAUGCUCUCGCCGUACCAAGCCAGUGGGUAGAACCGAACGAAUCGAGCAUCAAAGAACUUGGUCAACCAGUGGAUCUUGACGCUGUCCUUGUCGAUAUUCCCGACAAAUGCCUUUGAAAGCCGAUGGAAAGGGAAGCUUUUCUACGCUUGGUACAUUGCUGGAAUGAGAAGAUGACGGCUGUUGUUUGAAUCUAAAAAGGACCAGACGAAGUCGAUCCCCAGGGCUCUCCUGCAAGAUGACAAGACAGCAUUUUAAACUCCGAUCCGCCACUGCUUUAAAAUCGCGUAACAGCCAUAUAACUCCAUACGCAAACAAUUUGUCAACCCGUUCCAG